rnacentral:tRNA from 1 species
CGGAGCGUAGCGCAGUGGUAGCGCGCAUCGUUCGGGUCGAUGAGGUCGCGGGUUCGAGUCCCGCCGCUCCGACAA